UUAUAAUGAAUUGGACGAUGAAAGUCGUGAUGAUCAUUUUGUUGUUCUAACAAGUGAAAAUCGCAUUUAAUUAGAGAGACUAAAUGCGAUUUUGACUUGUGGGAACAACAAAAUGAUCAUCACGACUUUCAUCGUCCUAUUCA
rnacentral:pre_miRNA from 1 species